CACGUAGGGUGCGAGCGUUGUCCGGAAUUAUUGGGCGUAAAGAGCUCGUAGGCGGUGUGUCGCAUCGGCCGCGAAAACCUGCAGCUUAACUGUGGGCUUGCGGUCGAUACGGGCAUCACUGGAGUUCGGCAGGGGAGACUGGAAUUCCUGGUGUAGCGGUGAAAUGCGCAGAUAUCAGGAGGAACACCGGUGGCGAAGGCGGGUCUCUGGGCCGUAACUGACGCUGAGGAGCGAAAGCGUGGGGAGCGAACAGG
rnacentral:rRNA from 1 species